rnacentral:rRNA from 1 species
GUGAGGAAUAUUGCGCAAUGGAGGCAACUCUGACGCAGCCAUGCCGCGUGCAGGAAGAAGGCGCUACGCGUUGUAAACUGCUUUUAACCGGGAAGAAACCCCAGGACGUGUCCUGGGUUGACGGUACCGGAGGAAUAAGCACCGGCUAACUUCGUGCCAGCAGCCGCGGUAAUACGAAGGGUGCAAGCGUUAUCCGGAUUCAUUGGGUUUAAAGGGUGCGUAGGCGGAGCGUUAAGUCAGUGGUGAAAUCCUGCAGCUUAACUGUAGACUUGCCAUUGAUACUGGCGCUCUUGAGUGCGCUUGAAGUGGGCGGAAUGUGCCGUGUAGCGGUGAAAUGCUUAGAUAUGGCACAGAACACCAAUUGCGAAGGCAGCUCACUAAGGCGAUCCUGACGCUGAGGCACGAAAGCGUGGGGAUCGAACAGGAUUAGAUACCCGAGUAGUCC